rnacentral:rRNA from 1 species
GAGUAACGCGUAUGCAACCUACCUAUCAGAGGGGAAUAACCCGGCGAAAGUCGGACUAAUACCGCAUAAAACAGGGGCACCGCAUGGUGAUAUUUGUUAAAGAAAUUCGCUGAUAGAUGGGCAUGCGUUCCAUUAGGUAGUUGGUGAGGUAACGGCUCACCAAGCCGACGAUGGAUAGGGGAACUGAGAGGUUGGUCCCCCACACUGGUACUGAGACACGGACCAGACUCCUACGGGAGGCAGCAGUGAGGAAUAUUGGUCAAUGGGCGGGAGCCUGAACCAGCCAAGUCGCGUGAAAAGGGAAGAAGGAUCUAUGGUUCGUAAACUUCUCUUGCAGGGGAAUAAAGUGCAGGACGUGUCCUGUUUUGUAUGUACCCUGAGAAUAAGGAUCGGCUAACUCCGUGCCAGCCGCCGC